rnacentral:rRNA from 1 species
AACCGGAUUAGAUACCCUGGUAGUCCACGCCCUAAACGAUGUCAACUAGCUGUUGGGGCCUUCGGGCCUUGGUAGCGCAGCUAACGCGUGAAGUUGACCGCCUGGGGAGUACGGUCGCAAGAUUAAAACUCAAAGGAAUUGACGGGGACCCGCACAAGCGGUGGAUGAUGUGGAUUAAUUCGAUGCAACGCGAAAAACCUUACCUACCCUUGACAUGUCUGGAAUGCCGAAGAGAUUUGGCAGUGCUCGCAAGAGAACCGGAACACAGGUGCUGCAUGGCUGUCGUCAGCUCGUGUCGUGAGAUGUUGGGUUAAGUCCCGCAACGAGCGCAACCCUUGUCAUUAGUUGCUACGAAAGGGCACUCUAAUGAGACUGCCGGUGACAAACCGGAGGAAGGUGGGGAUGACGUCAAGUCCUCAUGGCCCUUAUGGGUAGGGCUUCACACGUCAUACAAUGGUCGGGACAGAGGGUCGCCAACCCGCGAGGGGGAGCCAAUCCCAGAAACCCGAUCGUAGUCCGGAUCGCAGUCUGCAACUCGACUGCGUGAAGUCGGAAUCGCUAGUAAUCGCGGAUCAGCAUGUCGCGGUGAAUACGUUCCCGGGUCUUGUACACACCGCCCGUCACACCAUGGGAGUGGGUUUUACCAGAAGUAGUUAGCCUAACCGCAAGGGGGGCGAUUACCACGGUAAGGAUUUCAUGACUGGGGUGAAGUCCGUAAC